UGAGCCGCGUGAAGUGGGUUUAAGGAAAAUGCAGUGGAAUGCAAAAAUCCAAAAAAACUUCAGAAUUCCUCAACGAUUUUGCAGAAAGGCAGCUUAGGAUAAUUAUUUCAGCUUUGUCGAGGGCAGAUUAGCUAAAGUCUGGGAUCUCCGUUUAACUACGCCUUACGUUUGCCAUUACAAUAUCC
rfam:Scleropages formosus scaffold3697, whole genome shotgun sequence.